GGGGCUGACAUGGAUUUGACAGCAAGUAAAUUGGGUUGUAAGCAUGUCGGGCAAAGUACAUUAUCCCGUUAAACUGUGGUGCAAAAUUUAUAAUUGGCGAAAAUAACUACGCUCUUGCUGCUUAAUUUUCACUCAGUGAUUUAAGCUUAAUCCCACGCGGAAUGCAUGGGACAAGACAUCUGGCGAAUGGUUUGCCUAAUGCCGGUUCGGGUUCCAGGUGCAGAAAAGUUUAGGCUAGUUUGUUUAGUGCUUCGAUAAACAAACGACAUUUAAGAAGAUAAGGUUUAAAUCGGGUGUCUUUUCCCUGUUUACUCACGAAAAUUAAUAAAAGAAUAAGCAUGUAGAAAGCAAUUUGGUUGCUUGUUUGGACCGGGGUUCGAUUCCCCGCAGCUCCACUG
rnacentral:tmRNA from 1 species